CUAACUAUUAUCCGCCAUAAAGUGUUUAUAAAGGGCGCACAACUAGGCUAAUGUUAUCUUAAAUGACACGGCGUGAUAUAUCUCUUUAAUGCAGAACCUGCUCCGGAAGAGAGUGAAGAGGAGAGAGGAAAACACUCUAUAGUUUGAUUUUAUUACUGACUAAUAUAGGGUACGGCAAUAAUCACAAUAUUAUUUGGAUGGCACGAGAACUGGCUCAGUUUCGACUGGAUGCGCUCGUCUUCCGUUUGCAGCCAGCCACCGGAGUUUAGGAAAUUAUUCACUCAGCUACACCGGCUCCAGUCCGGGCUAAUGCCUGAGGUUUGGGUCGGAUCAUUUACAAGAAACUGGAUUACAAACUUUCUACAAUCUGUGGAGCCAACCCUCAUUUAAGUAAUUCUGGUCUGGCAUCACCAUCUAGAGAGAAGAUGUUUUAUAAGAUCUGAAUCAUACUGCAAAGGAGUAGCAGGUUGUCAAAUCAGAAUCAGGAAACCUAGCCCUUUCACCACAAAUGCCAUUGCCACUCUGUGACACCCCUCAUCUGUCCCUGGUUCCGCUGGAGGUGCUAGCGAGGUUCUACUAGUGUCGGCUCAUGACAGACUCGGGCUCGGAGACCGAAGGACACCAAACACUAUACAGUCUUUCAGAUCAGUGCCGUGCUGCCUCAUAUGUUGUUUUCAUUUCUAAAGUAAAGCCACACUUUUGACCAUUUGCCACAGCCCAUUUUUCAUAUUGCUGUAAAUUACAUCAGUGGUAUUAACCAUUCAUGCUGGCUCAUAUGUAAACAAACUGACAGGUUGUUGUGUUGGUGCGCGACACAGUCACAUAGACAAGUUCUGGCAGAUAUCUAUGUUCACCCUCGCAGAUAAUACUCUUUGCUUUGUGUAUAGGAACCGAUAAGCAGAAACAAAAUCCUGUUUUUUAUGGGUACCUGGUACUUGGUAUUUUGGAUUCAGUUCUAAAUUGGAACAGAGUUUAAGUUCCCAACCCUAACUUAAAUACAGAUAAGUAAUAAGUAUGUUGCCAUAAUCAUCCUCAGUCUGUCUUUAACUCUACUUUGGCUUUAUUGGGUUAAAGCAGGAAGAGAAGAAAUGCACAUGUGACUGAUGUAGACAGGCACCAGCUAUUCUUUUACAUAUGUUUUGAAAAUUGUACAACAUUUGGGAACUAUCAUUAUACAUUCCACUGUUUGAGGUGUCCCUAUGAGACAUGUAAAUGUGUGGGUCUCAGGCCAAUAUGACUGUUCUGUUCAGCACUUGCUAGAAGAAAGAUUCUGUUUACAGUGGAGGGAGCCACUUCCAGCAGUUUGCAGACUUUGGGUGAAGGAGGUCAUGAAUCAUAAUGAGUGGAGAAAGACUUGGUAAUCCAUAAAGGGGUAAUGGUGGAAUUUUCUAAAGCAGACAAACUAAAAAUACUGUACCUUUUUAUUAUUUAGUUAUUUCUUUACUGGAAUAUAACUAUGUGUCAUAUGUUGUUUGUUAAUGAAAAGAUCUUGAUUGAAAAAUAUAAAGCUGCACAUGAAUACACACACAGACACGAGCAUACACAACCUCAUGCACACCCAAACUCCUGACCUAAUUGCUCACUCUCACUCAACUAAUUAAUCACAGCUGACUCAACAUGGUGACAAGGUUAGGUAGGUGACAUUCUUCACAAAUCUCUUUUUUGGCCUUUUCUUUCUCUCUUUCCUUUCCCCCCCUCUAGGGCGCCUUAUUUCUGUUUGGUUUUUUAUU